rnacentral:rRNA from 1 species
CCUACGGGCGGCAGCAGUGGGGAAUAUUGGACAAUGGGGGGAACCCUGAUCCAGCCAUGCCGCGUGUGUGAAGAAGGCCCUCGGGUUGUAAAGCACUUUCAGUGAGGAAGAACGCCUGGUGGUUAAUACCCAUCAGGAAAGACAUCACUCACAGAAGAAGCACCGGCUAACUCCGUGCCAGCAGCCGCGGUAAUACGGAGGGUGGGAGCGUUAAUCGGAAUUACUGGGCGUAAAGCGCGCGUAGGUGGCUUGAUAAGCCGGUUGUGAAAGCCCCGGGCUCAACCUGGGAACGGCAUCCGGAACUGUCAAGCUAGAGUGCAGGAGAGGAAGGUAGAAUUCCCGGUGUAGCGGUGAAAUGCGUAGAGAUCGGGAGGAAUACCAGUGGCGAAGGCGGCCUUCUGGACUGACACUGACACUGAGGUGCGAAAGCGUGGGUAGCAAACAGGAUUAGAUACCCUUGUAGUC